AUACAUGCAUUUAUUAAUUAUUUCCCUCUUGCUUGUAGAUGACCAAGGCCCUAUUUGAGAAGCCAUACACUACCCAUAGUAUUAGAAGGUCAGCUGCACGCUGGGCAGCCAGAUGUGGUGCUGAUGAUAGCACAAUCAAAAGGGCUGGUCGCUGGAAGUCGAGCAGCUUUGAACUUUACACCCAAGACG